rnacentral:rRNA from 1 species
UACGUAGGGUGCAAGCGUUGUCCGGAAUUAUUGGGCGUAAAGAGCUCGUAGGCGGUUUGUCGCGUCUGCUGUGAAAACGCGAGGCUCAACCUCGCGCCUGCAGUGGGUACGGGCAGACUAGAGUGCGGUAGGGGAGAUUGGAAUUCCUGGUGUAGCGGUGGAAUGCGCAGAUAUCAGGAAGAACACCCGUGGCGAAGGCGGCUCUCUGGAACGCAACUGACGCUGAGACGCGAAAGCGUGGGGAGCAAACAGG